rnacentral:rRNA from 1 species
AGCAGCGGUUAUACGUUAUUAUAAACUAAUUUUAACUGAAUAACUCCAUUUCAUCAUAUUUUCUAUAAAAAUGAAAUUUCCAACAAAAAUAAUCAUAAAAUUAAUCAAAAAUUAGAUAAAAACCAGGAUUAGAUACCCUGCUAUUCUAAACUAAAAUAAUAUUUCAAAGAAAAAACCAACAAAAUAAAUUUGACGGUAUUAACCUUUACAAAGGAAUUUGUUUCUUAAUCGAAAAUACACGACUUACCCUACUUAAUAAUUAUUUGUAUACCACUGUAAAGAAAUUAUUUAAAAUUAAUUUCAAAAUAAAAUCCCUUAAAAAAUCAAGUCAUGGUGCAAUUUUAUUAAGAUGAAAUGAAUUACAUUUAUUUAUAUAAACAUAUAUUAAUUGAAAAAUUAAUAAAAAUAGAAUUUGUCAGUAAAAUUUUAUCAUCAUGAUAAUUUGAAAAUAAACAUUAAUAUGUACAUAUCGCCC